rnacentral:rRNA from 1 species
AUUGAACGCUGGCGGCAGGCCUAACACAUGCAAGUCGAACGAGUGGCGGACGGGUGAGUAAUGUCUGUGGAACUGCCCGCGGGAGGGGGAUAACUACUGGAAACGGUAGCUACUACCGCAUACCAUCGGAUGUGCACAGAUGGGGUUAGCUAGUGGGGGGGGUAACGGCUCACCUAGGCGACGAUCCCUAGCUGGUCUGAGAGGAUAAGCAGCCACACUGGAACUGAGACACGGCCCAGACUCCUACGGGAGGCAGCAGUGGGGAAUAUUGCACAAUGGGCGCAAGCCUGAUACAGCCAUGCCGCGUGUAUGAAGAAGGCCUUCGGGUUGUAAAGUACUUUCAGCGAGGAGGCGUUACCCGCAGAAGAAGCACCGGCUAACUCCGUGCCAGCAGCCGCGGUAAUAC